rnacentral:rRNA from 1 species
GAUGAACGCUAGCGGCAGGCCUAAUACAUGCAAGUCGGACGGGAUUUGGGAGCUUGCUCCUAAUGAGAGUGGCGCACGGGUGCGUAACACGUAUGUAACCUACCUUAAUCAGGGGGAUAGCCUCUCGGAAGAGAGAUUAACACCGCAUAACAUAUUUUUAUGGCAUCGUAGAAAUAUCAAAUAGUUAUAGGAUUAAGAUGGGCAUGCGGAACAUUAGCUAGUUGGUAAGGUAACGGCUUACCAAGGCUACGAUGUUUAGGGGAUCUGAGAGGAUGACCCCCCACACUGGUACUGAGACACGGACCAGACUCCUACGGGAGGCAGCAGUAAGGAAUAUUGGUCAAUGGGCGCAAGCCUGAACCAGCCAUGCCGCGUGCAGGAAGACGGCCCUAUGGGUUGUAAACUGCUUCUGUACCGGAAUAAACCCUUUUACGUGUAGAAGGCUGAAUGUACGGUAAGAAUAAGGAUCGGCUAACUCCGUGCCAGCCGCCGCAGUAA